UACGUAGGGGGCAAGCGUUGUCCGGAUUUAUUGGACGUAAAGAGCGUGUAGGCGGCCAGACAGGUCAGCUGUGAAAACUCGAGGCUCAACCUCGAGACGUCGGUUGAAACCGUCUGGCUAGAGUCCGGAAGAGGAGAGUGGAAUUCCCGGUGUAGCGGUGAAAUGCGCAGAUAUCGGGAAGAACACCCGUGGCGAAGGCGGCUACCUGGACCAGCACUGACACUGAAGCACGAAAGCGUGGGGAGCAAACAGG
rnacentral:rRNA from 1 species